rnacentral:tRNA from 1 species
GAAGCUGUAGCUCAGUGGUAGAGCGCAUGCUUAGCGUGCAUGAGGUCCUGGAUUCAAUCCCCAGUACCUCCA